rnacentral:rRNA from 1 species
UAGAGGAAGUAAAAGUCGUAACAAGGUUUCCGUAGGUGAACCUGCGGAAGGAUCAUUAUUGAAUAAACUUGGUAGAGGUUGUCGCUGGCUCUUAGGAGUAUGUGCACACUUCUCCAUCUUUACUUCUCCACCUGUGCACCUUUUGUAGUCUUUUUUAAUUAGAAGCAACUGAAUGCUCGAGGCAACUCGGAUAGAGGAUCUGCUGUGCGAAAGCCGGCUUUCCUUGUAAAUUGUCUUCCUUAUCUUAAAAGGUCUACGUUUUUAUAUACCCCAAAUGUAUGUCUAAGAAUGUAAUCAAUGGGCUUUAUUGCCUAUAAAACAAAUACAACUUUCAGCAACGGAUCUCUUGGCUCUCGCAUCGAUGAAGAACGCAGCGAAAUGCGAUAAGUAAUGUGAAUUGCAGAAUUCAGUGAAUCAUCGAAUCUUUGAACGCACCUUGCGCUCCUUGGUAUUCCGAGGAGCAUGCUUGUUUGAGUGUCAUUAAAUUCUCAACCCUUUCAAAGUUUUUAUUGACUUUGAAGUUGGGCUUGGAUUUGGGGGUUGCGGGCUUUUCCAAAGUCGGCUYUCCUUAAAAGUAUUAGCGGAACCUUUUGUGAGCCGUCUACUAGUGUGAUAAUUAUCUACGCUGUUGAUGUUGCUUACAUUAAUGAGGUUCAGCUUCUAAUAGUCCAUUUACUUGGACAAUAUCUUUAUUGAUGACCAUUUGACCUCAAAUCAAGUAGGACUACCCGCUGAACUUAAGCAUAUCA